CCUACGGGGUGCAGCAGUGGGGAAUAUUGCACAAUGGGGGAAACCCUGAUGCAGCGACGCCGCGUGAGUGAAGAAGUAAUUCGUUAUGUAAAGCUCUAUCAGCAGGGAAGAAAAUGACGGUACCUGAGUAAGAAGCCCCGGCUAACUACGUGCCAGCAGCCGCGGUAAGACGUAGGGGGCAAGCGUUAUGCGGAUUUACUGGGUGUAAAGGGAGCGUAGACGGCAGUGCAAGUCUGGAGUGAAAGGCGGGGGCUCAACCCCCGGACUGCUCUGGAAACUGUACGGCUGGAGUGCAGGAGAGGUAAGUGGAAUUCCUAGUGUAGCGGUGAAAUGCGUAGAUAUGAGGAGGAACACCAGUGGCGAAGGCGGCUUACUGGACUGUAACUGACGUUGAGGCUCGAAAGCGUGGGGAGCAAACAGGAUUAGAUACCCUUGUAGUC
rnacentral:rRNA from 1 species